rnacentral:rRNA from 7 species
UUUAAAGAGAGUUUGAUCCUGGCUCAGGACGAACGCUGGCGGCGUGCCUAAUACAUGCAAGUCGAACGAACGGAGGAAGAGCUUGCUCUUCCAAAGUUAGUGGCGGACGGGUGAGUAACACGUGGGCAACCUGCCUGUAAGUUGGGGAUAACUCCGGGAAACCGGGGCUAAUACCGAAUGAUA